rnacentral:rRNA from 1 species
UGGGGAAUUUUGGACAAUGGGGGAAACCCUGAUCCAGCCAUCCCGCGUGUGCGAUGAAGGCCUUCGGGUUGUAAAGCACUUUUGGCAGGAAAGAAACGUCAUGGGUUAAUACCCCGUGAAACUGACGGUACCUGCAGAAUAAGCACCGGCUAACUACGUGCCAGCAGCCGCGGUAAUACGUAGGGUGCAAGCGUUAAUCGGAAUUACUGGGCGUAAAGCGUGCGCAGUCGGUUCGGAAAGAAAGAUGUGAAAUCCCAGAGCUCAACUUUGGAACUGCAUUUUUAACUCCCGGGCUCGAGUGUGUCAGAGGGAGGUGGAAUUCCGCGUGUAGCAGUGAAAUGCGUAGAUAUGCGGAGGAACACCGAUGGCGAAGGCAGCCUCCUGGGAUAACACUGACGCUCAUGCACGAAAGCGUGGGGAGCAAACAGG